rnacentral:rRNA from 1 species
UACGUAGGGAGCAAGCGUUGUCCGGAUUUACUGGGUGUAAAGGGUGCGUAGGCGGCUUUGCAGGUCAGAAGUGAAAUCCAUGGGCUUAACCCAUGAACUGCUUUUGAAACUGCAGAGCUUGAGUGGAGUAGAGGUAGGCGGAAUUCCCGGUGUAGCGGUGAAAUGCGUAGAGAUCGGGAGGAACACCAGUGGCGAAGGCGGCCUGCUGGGCUCUAACUGACGCUGAGGCACGAAAGCGUGGGUAGCAAACAGG